UUCUCUACAUAGUUGUCGAAGCAUAUGAGGGGUGUGGUUAUAUAUAUAAGAAAUUGAUAGCAUAGUUUAUAGUUUUUUGCUUCUAUUGUUUGUUCUUUUUAUUUGAGGUAAUCUCUCCCUUUCCUCUCCUUGUUUUGUCAUGCUAGGUCUCCUAGGUCAGAGCCACGGUGCAGGAGCUCAGGUUUCGGUGGAGAGAUGAUACAGUGAUGAGAAGAUGUGCCCAGCAGCUAGCUAUAGUGGAGAAUUGAUUCGUUCGAUCCCCUCACCCCUGGCCUUCUACAGAGAAGCUGACACUCGUGUACGAAGUCGGUGCCCUACCGACAAAGGUGGUACAACUCUCACCAGAUGACCUUAGAGACGAGAGCACAAUAACAUACUGGAAGAUAUGACGCUAGAAGCACACAAAUAAGCUAACCUGGUGCAAGCUGUGAUUCCAUGACCCAUCCCCGCUGUGACCCUGUUCCUGGAACUGGCAAGGU